CCUUUUUCCUAGUAAACAUAUUUUUUAUUGUUGGUAUUUAAAAUAUCUUUUCUACACUUAAAUCUAAUUCUUUUCCUUUUAUUUCAUCAAAUAUGUUACUGUCAAAUAUUAUUUUUUGUUCCGUUCCUUCAUCAUUUAAAUAUUCUUCCUUUGUUAUUAUUUUUAUAUCUUCUUCAGUCAUUUGAUUCAUCUAUUUCACUAUCUAUUUCAUUAUCUGUUUCGUUUUCUG
rnacentral:lncRNA from 1 species